UACGUAGGGGGCGAGCGUUGUCCGGAGUUACUGGGCGUAAAGCGCACGCAGGCGGUCUCAUAAGUUUGGGGUGACAGUGGGUGGCUUAACCGCCCAAGUGCCUCAAAGACUGUGAGACUUGAGGGCCACAGAGGGACAUGGAACUCCAGGUGUAGUGGUGAAAUGCGUAGAUAUCUGGAAGAACACCAAAGGCGAAGGCAGUGUCCUGGGUGGUACCUGACGCUCAGGUGCGAAAGCUAGGGGAGCGAACGG
rnacentral:rRNA from 1 species